CUUUUAAUUUUUCAAAAUUGUUCACAAUGUUUGAAUACAAUUUUAUGAUUGAGAAGUCAUACGAGACAAGACUAAAGAUGUCACCCUUUUGUGGGAAAUGGCCAUCGCUUUGCUGGGCGAUUCUUAAGCUUAAUAGAAUGGUUGAGACCAUUCCCAAGCAAAGCAAUAACAAUACAAUAGUUAAGCCCUGGGUUAUUGAUAAGAAACGGCAAUUGUGGAUAGUAUUCAUAAUUUCAGUACUUGCAGUAUUAAUUGUUAUAAGAAUAUUAAGGCGCUGGAGAUAUAAUAAACGAAAAUUGGAGUCAAAACUACGGCAAGAAGAAAAAAAAAAGAACUUUUCUGAUAUUAUAUGUGAAAUGCGGGAGGUCACUGAGAAAGCAAAAAUUCGCAAACAAUUCAAUGGUCCUAACGGUGAUGAACCUAAUAAACUCGAUAAAUUAAGCUUAAGUAAUGCAUUCACGGACUCCAGUGAAUCUACAUUUAAAGAUAAAGCUGUUCAAUCGAAUAAAGUUAAUCUCAGCAAGACAUUAACUGGUUUAGCAAAAUCUAAACACAAAAUGGUUCGAUAUCAGGAAGCUAAGGCAAGAACAGGGACUUCCGAUCUAAGCAAUACACCCGAAUUAAAUAAUCUCAACUCAACGAAGGGAUUUACUGCUACCAAGGCUAAAAAAUGUACAUUAAAGUCCAAUAAGACAUAUCCAAUUCCGAACAUAACUGCUCCACAACCAGGUGCCAAAAUAUGUUUCAAAAGUAAUUUACCCCAAUCCCAAGCCGUAUCCUUAAAAGUCACUGAUAAGCCGAUCUGGCGAAAUUAAGUUAAAGUUUUUGAAUAAGGUAGUUUUAAUAUUUUAUUUAAUUUUGGUAUUAAAAUAUGUUAAAUUUUAAAUUAAAUUAGGGAAAUGUGUGUAAAUAAAGGCUUUACCGAUGACUUUCCUUUAA